rnacentral:rRNA from 1 species
UACGUAGGGUGCAAGCGUUGUCCGGAAUUAUUGGGCGUAAAGAGCUCGUAGGCGGUUUGUUGCGUCGGCUGUGAAAUCCCGAGGCUCAACCUCGGGUCUGCAGUCGAUACGAGCAAACUAGAGUGUUGCAGGGGAGACUGGAAUUCCUGGUGUAGCGGUGAAAUGCGCAGAUAUCAGGAGGAAGACCAGUGGCGAAGGCGGGUCUCUGGACAGUUCCUGACACUGAGGCACGAAGGCCAGGGGAGCAAACGGG